GACGGAGGGGGCUAGCGUUGUUCGGAAUUACUGGGCGUAAAGCGCACGCAGGCGGCCGGCCGCGUCGGGGGUGAAAGCCCGGGGCUCAACCCCGGAGGGGCCUCCGAGACGGGUCGGCUGGAGUUCGGAAGAGGAGAGUGGAAUUCCCAGUGUAGAGGUGAAAUUCGUAGAUAUUGGGAAGAACACCGGUGGCGAAGGCGGCUCUCUGGUCCGAGACUGACGCUGAGGUGCGAAAGCGUGGGGAGCAAACAGG
rnacentral:rRNA from 1 species